rnacentral:rRNA from 1 species
AACGAACGCUGGCGGCAGGCUUAACACAUGCAAGUCGAACGGGUGCAGCAAUGCAUCAGUGGCAGACGGGUGAGUAACACGUGGGAACCUUCCUAGGGGUACGGAACAACUCAGGGAAACUUGAGCUAAUACCGUAUACGUCCGUGAGGAGAAGGAUUUAUCGCCCUUAGACGGGCCCGCGUCGGAUUAGCUAGUUGGUGGGGUAACGGCCUACCAAGGCGACGAUCCGUAGCUGAUCUUAGAGGAUGAUCAGCCACACUGGGACUGAGACACGGCCCAGACUCCUACGGGAGGCAGCAGUGGGGAAUUUUGGACAAUGGGCGCAAGCCUGAUCCAGCCAUGCCGCGUGAGUGAAGAAGGUCUUCGGAUUGUAAAGCUCUUUUGCCAGGGACGAUAAUGACGGUACCUGGAGAAUAAGCCCCGGCAAACUUCGUGCCAGCAGCCGCCGUAAGAC